rnacentral:lncRNA from 1 species
UCCCUGCUCAGGCUGAUUGGAAUCCAGAGUACAGAUAUAAAAUAAAUAAGACUGUAAAUCAGCACAGUCAUUCCCGACAUCCUUUCUGAAGGAUUUUAACUUCCUAGCCUUAGAAUAUCAUUUCUCUGGGGAUGAGGAAAUAAAGGCUACUUUGAACAACAGUAUUGAAGUCCUGUGUCCUCCCUACCCCCUCCCUCUCCAACUCCAUUCUUAAGUAACCUUGGCCCAUUCAAUUCUUUUCUGCACAAAAUAAUCUGGCCAUUGAAAUCUGGGUGUUAUUUCAUUAAAUUGGUCUCAAUUGACAGACUCCUAAAGGACUAGAAGGAGAAAUUAAAACUGCUGCUCUAUUGUCCCUAUUGUAAAUGACCCCUUCAUUCUCAGUAAAAAAAAUUUCUCUUCUCAGGAAAAAUUCACUCUCUACUGAACUGCAAAAAAGAAAAAAAAAUACUUAGUUGUGCAAAAUAAAUUUUGAAAUCUCUCUUGGCAUUUUCUAUCAUUUUCUCCUUGAUUUUCUCUUCACAGAAAUUGUUUGGUGUCCUGCCUGCCUGCAGUGUCUCAUCACCAGAGCAUGCCAGAGCCAACUCAAAGGACUCUGAAGGUUGGUCUUCUAAGCUACAGAAGAGGACUGGUUGAGACUGGCCUUUCCCCAAAAGGAAUGGGAUGGACACAAAAGAACCACAGUUCUUCUACUGUUCUCACUUUAAAACCACCUCCUUUUGGAAUCACUAGCAGAGAUGGCCUCCCUUUGAAGAAUUGAUUUUUCUUAUGAAAAUCAGCUGAAGAGUUCCCCACCUCAGAGACUCAUCUAGCAUCUUAACUGGCCUGAUUUACAUAUGGAUCAUAUUAAUGGUACAGCUGAGGUCCUCAGAGUGUGUCCCACCACACCGUCAUCCCCUUUAGGCAUGGAUCACAUGCCUGCAAAUACCCCAUGUUGUCAAAAGUAAUGAUGGAAGCUACUGGUUUGUUUUUAUUGUUAUUAUUAAUAAUAAAUAUCUGUUAUAGAUUAUAUUCCA